rnacentral:snoRNA from 1 species
ACAACCUUACUUGAGCAUGAUAUAUUCUAUAGGCUUGUACCACUGUAUCCUUGAGUUCUAAGGAACCCGGAAACCAAGUCUGGUUGAUGAUGCAUAACUAUUGGACUAGAGUGUGAUUAACAGCUCCCACGACCCUCGGGUCAUGGUACCGUAAAUUAUUCUUCUCAAUUUAGGGUUGUGAAUUUGGACAGGAU